AAGUCGUAGCAAGUGGCCUGGUUUCCCCAAGCAUUCAGUGUCUGGAAGUGUCAUUGAUUGUGUAAGGAUAACGCUUUUCGAUCACUAGAGGCCGAACACCGGCCGGUGACCAGGUCGCCGUGGCUUCGGCCCCCUAGAUUAACCCCACUACCUGAACUCGCCUCGUAGGAAACUGCUGGGCAACAAAACGAACAACUGUUAACAAUGGAUAUCUUGGUUCUC
rnacentral:misc_RNA from 1 species